GACUAUGACAGCUUCUUUUUUUUUAACAAAAUAAAGAACAAUGAGCAAAAAAAAAAAGGACACAGGAAAGGAAGCCAUAAUAAUCUGUGGCCUAACUUUAGGCACUGUACUAAAAAGCUAUUUCCAAAAACAUACACAAUAGAUUCAUAAGGAGAGGUAAAAUACUGAGCGAUGUCCCACAGUGCAGCAGGAAUACGAUAAAGCUGCCAUGUAAAAGCUGUUUAUGCUCAGGUUAAU